rnacentral:lncRNA from 1 species
UGAAGGAGGAGAUAUAGUAGACUCCCUAAAGGCCGGUAUAGGUAAAACCUCAGAUAUAUCAAGAUGGUCAGGAUGGUCAGAAGAGGUAAAGAAAGAUUUAGACUCAAAAAAUGUGACAUCGGCUGACAUACGGUACCUACGAAGAUCAGGUGAAUAACAACGAUAGCCGUUCUGAGCACGAGAAUAACCAAGGAAGACAUACUUAAGAGCACGAGGAGCUAACAUAUCUUUCCCAGGAACUAAGUUAUGAACGAAACAAGUGCUCCCAAAAACACGAGAGGAAACAGGGUAUAAGGGUGACUGGGGAAACAAUACCUCAUGCGGAAUCUGAUUCUGGAUGGG